rnacentral:misc_RNA from 1 species
GAAGAACGUAGCGAAAUGCGAUACGUAAUGUGAAUUGCAGAAUUCAGUGAAUCAUCGAAUCUUUGAACGCACAUUGCGCCCCUUGGUAUUCCGAGGGGCAUGCCUGUUCGAGCGUCAUUAUAACCCCUCAAGCUCAGCUUGGUGUUGGGGCCUGCUGCACUGGCAGCCCUUAAAAUCAGUGGCGGCGCCAUCUGGCUCUAAGCGUAGUAAUUCUUCUCGCUAUGGAGUCCUGGUGGAUGCUUGCCAUCAACCCCCAAUUUUUCUAUGGUUGACCUCGGAUCAGGUAGGGAUACCCGCUGAACUUAAGCAUAUCAAUAAGCGGAGGA